rnacentral:lncRNA from 1 species
GCAUAACAAAAUCUACCAUUUUAAAGUGUACAGCUCAGGAGUGUUAAGUAUGUUUACACUGUUACGUCAACCAUCUCAUUUUACAGAUGGGAAGCCUGAGGCUCAGAGAGGACAUAAGCCACAGGACGGAACCAGCAGAGCAAGAACUCACCCUGGGCCUGUGGAUGGCCUCCUGGGUCCUGAGGAGGCAGGACACACCUAAGGGCAGAGCAGGGUGGGGAGGGAGAGGCCCCGCAUGAGCAGAAGAGGCUGGGUCGUAUUCAGACCGUGGUCUGAGCUCUGAUCCGUCCUCCUCCUCAGCUGGAAAAGGUCUAAAAUAUCAAGUGAAACCUUGAAAACGUGAUGCUAAGUGAAGAAGCCACAUACAAAAGGUCACACGGUGUAAAUUCCAUUUGUGUGAAAUUCCCAGAACAGAGUUGUGUGCGUCAUGUCACACUCCAAGGAGACCUGGCCUUUGGUUGCCCUGAGGACUUCAGAGACCGCUGUGACAGUGGCUUGUAUGUGGCUGCAGGUGACAGCAUGCUCCCUUCUCUGGAUGUUUUCUUGCCUUCUCCCCUCUGCAGGCCCUUGACACCGGCCGCUCAUCCCUCAGGGCUUAGCUCAGGCAUCACCUCUUUCGAGAAGCCCUCCUUGAUUCCUUCCCCCCCGGUUACAUGCACUUGCAUGCUCCCUGUGUUUGCUGUGACCAUUCCUGUGAGCAGUGACCCAUGCACCUGUCUGCACCCCACCCUGUCCAUGUACCCCUGAGGUCAGGGACCCUGUGGAGGCAGAGUGGGGAGGAAACUACGUUGUAGAUCUUGGUGCCACAUUGGCCUGGGUUCAAAACCUGGCUCAGCCAACUUAUUAGCUCUGCGACCUUGGGACAAGUUGCUUAGCCUUCAGGAACAUCAGUUUCAGGUGUAGAGAAUGAAGAUAAUGUUUUCCUUAUGGGGCUGCGCCAAGGAGCCUUGGUUGUAUAAUCUCAUUGCCUGCGAGAUGCUUAGCUCCGCCUCCUCCUCGUUGUUAGGAUUAUUAGAUUGCUGCCUGUUUUUCCGUAGUUUCAGCCCUUUCUGAAUAUUUUCAAACCAUCUUGCUGACCAUUUGGACAACAAACUGGGCAGAAUGCCUCACCGAUGGGGCAGCCUGGUGUCCAGAGGGAGGGUGGCAGUGGCACGGGAGGGGCGAGCUGGGGGAGCUGAGGCAGCGAGGAGGUGAGUGGGGGGUGAG